UACGGGGGGAGCAAGCGUUGUCCGGAAUCAUUGGGCGUAAAGAGCGUGUAGGCGGCCAGAUAAGUCCGCUGUGAAAUCUCGAGGCUCAACUUCGAGCUGUCGGUGGAAACUGUCUGGCUAGAGUCCGGAAGAGGAGAAUGGAAUUCCUGGUGUAGCGGUGAAAUGCGCAGAUAUCAGGAAGAACACCCGUGGCGAAGGCGGUUCUCUGGGCCGGAACUGACGCUGAGGAGCGAAAGCGUGGGGAGCGAACAGG
rnacentral:rRNA from 1 species